rnacentral:rRNA from 1 species
UACGUAGGGGGCAAGCGUUGUCCGGAUUUAUUGGGCGUAAAGAGCGUGUAGGCGGUCUGGUAGGUCCGUUGUGAAAACUCGAGGCUCAACCUCGAGACGCCGGUGGAAACCAUCAGACUAGAGUCCGGAAGAGGAGAGUGGAAUUCCUGGUGUAGCGGUGAAAUGCGCAGAUAUCAGGAAGAACACCCGUGGCUAAGGCGGCUCUCUAGUACGGUACUGACGCUGAGACGCGAAAGCGUGGGGAGCGAACAGG